CCUUGGAACAGGACGUCACAGAGGGUGAGAAUCCCGUACGUGACCGGCCGCCACGCCCGUGUGAAGCUCCUUCGACGAGUCGAGUUGUUUGGGAAUGCAGCUCAAAAUGGGUGGUAAAUUUCAUCUAAAGCUAAAUAUUGGCCAGAGACCGAUAGCGCACAAGUAGAGUGAUCGAAAGAUGAAAAGCACUUUGGAAAGAGAGUCAAACAGUACGUGAAAUUGUUGAAAGGGAAGCGCUUGCAACCAGACUUGCCCGCGGGUGAUCAACCGGUAUUCUCUUACCGGUGCACUCGCCCGCGGUCAGGCCAGCAUCGGUUUGGGCGGCUGGAUAAAGUCCACUGGAAUGUAGCUCCUCUCGGGGAGCGUUAUAGUCAGAGGUGCCAUGCAGCCCGCCCGGACCGAGGACCGCGCUUCGGCUAGGAUGCUGGCGUAAUGGUUGUAAGCGACCCGUCUUGAAACACGGACCAAGGAGUCUAACAUCUAUGCGAGUGUUUGGGUGUCAAACCCAUGCGCGUAAUGAAAGUGAACGGAGGUGGGAACCCUUCAGGGUGCACCAUCGACCGAUCCUGAUGUCUUCGGAUGGAUUUGAGUAAGAGCAUAGCUGUUGGGACCCGAAAGAUGGUGAACUAUGCCUGAAUAGGGUGAAGCCAGAGGAAACUCUGGUGGAGGCUCGCAGCGGUUCUGACGUGCAAAUCGAUCGUCAAAUUUGGGUAU
rnacentral:rRNA from 1 species